ACGCUGGCGGCGUGCUUAACACAUGCAAGUCGAACGGUGAACACGGAGCUUGCUCUGUGGGAUCAGUGGCGAACGGGUGAGUAACACGUGAGCAACCUGCCCCUGACUCUGGGAUAAGCGCUGGAAACGGCGUCUAAUACUGGAUACGAGUAGCGACCGCAUGGUCAGUUACUGGAAAGAUUUAUUGGUUGGGGAUGGGCUCGCGGCCUAUCAGCUUGUUGGUGAGGUAAUGGCUCACCAAGGCGUCGACGGGUAGCCGGCCUGAGAGGGUGACCGGCCACACUGGGACUGAGACACGGCCCAGACUCCUACGGGAGGCAGCAGUGGGGAAUAUUGCACAAUGGGCGCAAGCCUGAUGCAGCAACGCCGCGUGAGGGAUGACGGCCUUCGGGUUGUAAACCUCUUUUAGCAGGGAAGAAGCGAAAGUGACGGUACCUGCAGAAAAAGCGCCGGCUAACUACGUGCCAGCAGCCGCGGUAAUACGUAGGGCGCAAGCGUUAUCCGGAAUUAUUGGGCGUAAAGAGCUCGUAGGCGGUUUGUCGCGUCUGCUGUGAAAUCCGGAGGCUCAACCUCCGGCCUGCAGUGGGUACGGGCAGACUA
rnacentral:rRNA from 1 species